AUGAUCCUGAGGUGUACGUUAAGGCCAUAUAAUUUAACCUACAGAUCAUUCACGGGACUUCGCGUUUUCUUAGCUGAUGUCGGGCCUCCUUCGAGUGGAUGGCAGAGGCGGAAACAGAAAACCCACCUAUCGGGAGAUAGGGCGUGAAUUAGUGGUCUGACGGCACAUUCGGGAUUUCU
rnacentral:other from 1 species